AACAUCGCGCACCUGCGGGAACCUGCGGAGGGAUCAUUACCGAGUUUACAACUCCCAAACCCCUGUGAACAUACCUAUACGUUGCCUCGGCGGAUCAGCCCGCGCCCCGUAAAACGGGACGGCCCGCCCGAGGACCCUAAACUCUGUUUUUAGUGGAACUUCUGAGUAAAACAAACAAAUAAAUCAAAACUUUUAACAACGGAUCU
rnacentral:misc_RNA from 1 species